UUGAGUCUGCCCGUGGUCUUAUUGUGUAGGAUUGAAAAAAUUCUUCCGAGUCAGAGUCAGAGUAUGAAUAAAUCUACAAUACGAUGUUGGAUGGUAGUCUCUCAUCUAUCUUCAGUUGGAUAGCAUUUUAGUGCACCAGCGAUCUCAAAACCACAACCGAGAGACAUAUUUCACCGCACAUAAAUAUGUGUAGUGUAGACAUACUCUCUCUACCUGGUAUAUAAGCGAUUUUCUACAUAUUGUUUCGUAUUUUACUCGCAUACCAGCCGCACACAUGUAGUUGUUUUUUUUUAUUUUGUUCUUAUUGUGCAAAACUGGUGUAUCGGAUAUCUGAGAAACUUGGAAUGUGUUGAGUGAAGGCAACUAGUGUGGAGUUGUACUGCAAACAGCAUUGAGAGUCGCGGCUGUUGACAAAUUCCUCAGACACUUCCGAACAUCUAUUCAUCUGCACACAUAACUUAUAUAUUAAUACUUUCAUAUGAAUAUAUGUAUAAGUAUAAGUGUAAUAUAUAAAUUUAUACAUAGUUUAGUUGUCCAACGGCACUUGCUCUCUUAUUCACGUUCAGGAUGCGGAAUCAAAAGUUUAUAACUAGACUCAAAGUACGGGAGUUUUAAACAACUUGGAGCUUCAACACCGAUGACAAAGAGUCGCUCAGAUUCACGACAGAUGCGCAUGUUAUAAUCCAUGGUUACUCUGAUGUAAUCAACUCAACAACUAAGUUCACUGGAUUGUUCGCGCAAAACCUCCAAAACAUUAAUAGCUUUUUAAAAGUUAAAAGUUUUAUUAUAUAAAUAAGAUAAAGGUAAGUUUUUAAAAAGGUAAACUUUUUAGCAAACAAGACCGGAGAAGACUAAGAGAUUGGAGUUGCUUUAAGAGUUUUGGUGAGAGGAAACCUGUACGUUGAGUCUUGUGGAGAAACCUGUUACUAAACCCUUAUACAUUUAGCAUCAGUAACCAACAUCAAGAAUGCAACCAAGAUUCUGGACACAUUGGAGAUCCUACCCGGGCUAAAUUAAUGUCAUGAGUAAUGAGUUUACAUUGUUGUGCUUGUCCGAAAGUAAAACCAUAGUGUUUCGUUGUUUGGAGCCGAGCUUAGUCAUCCGUGGAUUAAAUAACCACCGAGAUAUAAACUCGCAGCUGAAUAACUCUUGGAUCUAUGCAGUAAGUAAAGAUACAAUUAUGAAUGCAAGAAGAUAAAAAUGUUUCAAGUUUAAAAUUCAUACAAUGUUUUCAUCAACAACACCAAUGAAGCAUCUCCUGAUCUAAUUAGAAUAGAAAUAAAUACAACUAGCAACCUUGCAGUCACUAUGUGACUGCCGUGAAUU